UUAAGCGACUAAGCGUACACGGUGGAUGCCCUGGCAGUCAGAGGCGAUGAAGGACGUGCUAAUCUGCGAUAAGCGUCGGUAAGGUGAUAUGAACCGUUAUAACCGGCGAUUUCCGAAUGGGGAAACCCAGUGUGAUUCGUCACACUAUCAUUAACUGAAUCCAUAGGUUAAUGAGGCGAACCGGGGGAACUGAAACAUCUAAGUACCCCGAGGAAAAGAAAUCAACCGAGAUUCCCCCAGUAGCGGCGAGCGAACGGGGAGCAGCCCAGAGCCUGAAUCAGUGUGUGUGUUAGUGGAAGCGUCUGGAAAGGCGCGCGAUACAGGGUGACAGCCCCGUACACAAAAAUGCACAUAUUGUGAGCUCGAUGAGUAGGGCGGGACACGUGGUAUCCUGUCUGAAUAUGGGGGGACCAUCCUCCAAGGCUAAAUACUCCUGACUGACCGAUAGUGAACCAGUACCGUGAGGGAAAGGCGAAAAGAACCCCGGCGAGGGGAGUGAAAAAGAACCUGAAACCGUGUACGUACAAGCAGUGGGAGCACGCUUAGGCGUGUGACUGCGUACCUUUUGUAUAAUGGGUCAGCGACUUAUAUUCUGUAGCAAGGUUAACCGAAUAGGGGAGCCGAAGGGAAACCGAGUCUUAACUGGGCGUUAAGUUGCAGGGUAUAGACCCGAAACCCGGUGAUCUAGCCAUGGGCAGGUUGAAGGUUGGGUAACACUAACUGGAGGACCGAACCGACUAAUGUUGAAAAAUUAGCGGAUGACUUGUGGCUGGGGGUGAAAGGCCAAUCAAACCGGGAGAUAGCUGGUUCUCCCCGAAAGCUAUUUAGGUAGCGCCUCGUGAAUUCAUCUCCGGGGGUAGAGCACUGUUUCGGCAAGGGGGUCAUCCCGACUUACCAACCCGAUGCAAACUGCGAAUACCGGAGAAUGUUAUCACGGGAGACACACGGCGGGUGCUAAACGUCCGUCGUGAAGAGGGAAACAACCCAGACCGCCAGCUAAGGUCCCAAAAGUCAUGGUUAAGUGGGAAACGAUGUGGGAAGGCCCAGACAGCCAGGAUGUUGGCUUAGAAGCAGCCAUCAUUUAAAGAAAGCGUAAUAGCUCACUGGUCGAGUCGGCCUGCGCGGAAGAUGUAACGGGGCUAAACCAUGCACCGAAGCUGCGGCAGCGACGCUUAUGCGUUGUUGGGUAGGGGAGCGUUCUGUAAGCCUGCGAAGGUGUGCUGUGAGGCAUGCUGGAGGUAUCAGAAGUGCGAAUGCUGACAUAAGUAACGAUAAAGCGGGUGAAAAGCCCGCUCGCCGGAAGACCAAGGGUUCCUGUCCAACGUUAAUCGGGGCAGGGUGAGUCGACCCCUAAGGCGAGGCCGAAAGGCGUAGUCGAUGGGAAACAGGUUAAUAUUCCUGUACUUGGUGUUACUGCGAAGGGGGGACGGAGAAGGCUAUGUUGGCCGGGCGACGGUUGUCCCGGUUUAAGCGUGUAGGCUGGUUUUCCAGGCAAAUCCGGAAAAUCAAGGCUGAGGCGUGAUGACGAGGCACUACGGUGCUGAAGCAACAAAUGCCCUGCUUCCAGGAAAAGCCUCUAAGCAUCAGGUAACAUCAAAUCGUACCCCAAACCGACACAGGUGGUCAGGUAGAGAAUACCAAGGCGCUUGAGAGAACUCGGGUGAAGGAACUAGGCAAAAUGGUGCCGUAACUUCGGGAGAAGGCACGCUGAUAUGUAGGUGAAGUCCCUUGCGGAUGGAGCUGAAAUCAGUCGAAGAUACCAGCUGGCUGCAACUGUUUAUUAAAAACACAGCACUGUGCAAACACGAAAGUGGACGUAUACGGUGUGACGCCUGCCCGGUGCCGGAAGGUUAAUUGAUGGGGUCAGCGCAAGCGAAGCUCUUGAUCGAAGCCCCGGUAAACGGCGGCCGUAACUAUAACGGUCCUAAGGUAGCGAAAUUCCUUGUCGGGUAAGUUCCGACCUGCACGAAUGGCGUAAUGAUGGCCAGGCUGUCUCCACCCGAGACUCAGUGAAAUUGAACUCGCUGUGAAGAUGCAGUGUACCCGCGGCAAGACGGAAAGACCCCGUGAACCUUUACUAUAGCUUGACACUGAACAUUGAGCCUUGAUGUGUAGGAUAGGUGGGAGGCUUUGAAGUGUGGACGCCAGUCUGCAUGGAGCCGGCCUUGAAAUACCACCCUUUAAUGUUUGAUGUUCUAACGUGGACCCGUGAUCCGGGUUGCGGACAGUGUCUGGUGGGUAGUUUGACUGGGGCGGUCUCCUCCUAAAGAGUAACGGAGGAGCACGAAGGUUGGCUAAUCCUGGUCGGACAUCAGGAGGUUAGUGCAAUGGCAUAAGCCAGCUUGACUGCGAGCGUGACGGCGCGAGCAGGUGCGAAAGCAGGUCAUAGUGAUCCGGUGGUUCUGAAUGGAAGGGCCAUCGCUCAACGGAUAAAAGGUACUCCGGGGAUAACAGGCUGAUACCGCCCAAGAGUUCAUAUCGACGGCGGUGUUUGGCACCUCGAUGUCGGCUCAUCACAUCCUGGGGCUGAAGUAGGUCCCAAGGGUAUGGCUGUUCGCCAUUUAAAGUGGUACGCGAGCUGGGUUUAGAACGUCGUGAGACAGUUCGGUCCCUAUCUGCCGUGGGCGCUGGAGAACUGAGGGGGGCUGCUCCUAGUACGAGAGGACCGGAGUGGACGCAUCACUGGUGUUCGGGUUGUCAUGCCAAUGGCACUGCCCGGUAGCUAAAUGCGGAAGAGAUAAGUGCUGAAAGCAUCUAAGCACGAAACUUGCCCCGAGAUGAGUUCUCCCUGACCCUUUAAGGGUCCUGAAGGAACGUUGAAGACGACGACGUUGAUAGGCCGGGUGUGUAAGCGCAGCGAUGCGUUGAGCUAACCGGUACUAAUGAACCGUGAGGCUUAACCUU
rnacentral:rRNA from 1 species